ACUCCUACGGGAGGCAGCAGUGGGGAAUUUUGGACAAUGGGGGCAACCCUGAUCCAGCCAUGCCGCGUGAGUGAAGAAGGCCUUCGGGUUGUAAAGCUCUUUCGGUGGGGAAGAAAUUGCCUGGGAUAAUACCUCAGGUAGAUGACGGUACCCGCAUAAGAAGCACCGGCUAACUACGUGCCAGCAGCCGCGGUAAU
rnacentral:rRNA from 1 species